GCUCAACGCUGGCGCCAACAUUUCGCAUUCUUCGUUGCUGUGUGUGUGUGCGUAUUUUUUCUUCGAAUAAUAAACUAGACGAAAACAGUUCCAGAAAGGAGGCAAGCGAAUAACUAAUAUGAGUAACUUUGUCUAAAUUUAAG